rnacentral:rRNA from 1 species
UCCUGGCUCAGAACGAACGCUGGCGGCAAGCUUAACACAUGCAAGUCGAACGAAUUAUUCCCAUAGCUUGCUAUGAGAAUAAUUAGUGGCAGACGGGUGAGUAAUGCAUAGGAAUCUACCUAGUAGUAUAGGAUAGCCACUAGAAGUGGUGGGUAAUACUGUAUAAUCCCUGCGGGGGAAAGAUUUAUCGCUACAUGAUGAGCCUAUGUUAGAUUAGCUAGUUGGUAGGGUAAAGGCCUACCAAGGCAGUGAUCUAUAGCUGGUCUGAGAGGAUGAUCAGCCACACUGGAACUGAGACACGGUCCAGACUCCUACGGGAGGCAGCAGUGGGGAAUAUUGGACAAUGGGCGCAAGCCUGAUCCAGCUAUGCCGCGUGAGUGAGGAAGGCCUUAGGGUUGUAAAGCUCUUUCAGUAGGGAAGAUAAUGACGGUACC